rnacentral:rRNA from 1 species
GUGUCAGCAGCCGCGGUAAUACCGGCAGCCCGCGUGGUGGCCGAUCUUAUUGCGCCUAAAGCGUCCGUAGCUGGCCGCACAAGUCCAUCGGAAAAUCCACCCGCUCAACGGGUGGGCGUCCGGUGGAAACUGUGUGGAUUGGGACCGGAAGGCGCGACGGGUACGUCCGGGGUAGGAGUGAAAUCCCGUAAUCCUGGACGGACCGCCGAUGGCGAAAGCACGUCGCGAGAACGGAUCCGACAGUGAGGGACGAAAGCCAGGGUCUCGAACCGGAUUAGAUACCCCAGUAGUCC